AGAGUUUGAUCCUGGCUCAGGAUAAACGCUGGCGGCGUGCCUAACACAUGCAAGUCGAACGUCCUGUGGCAACACAGGGAGUGGCGGACGGGUGAGUAACACGUGGGUACCUACCCUACAGUGAGGAAUACCGGCGAGAAAUCGCCGACAACACCGCAUACCCUUCUCUUCGGAGAAGGAAAGUCACCUCGGUGACGCUGAAGGAUGGGCCUGCGCCCGAUUAGCUGGUUGGUGGGGUAAGAGCCUACCAAGGCGACGAUCGGUAGCUGGUCUGAGAGGAUGAUCAGCCACACUGGGAUUGAGAACGGCCCAGACUCCUACGGGGGGCAGCAGUGAGGAAUUUUCCGCAACGGACGCAAGUCUGACGGAGCAACGCCGCGUGCAGGAGGACGGUUUUCGGAUCGUAAACUGCUUUUCUUGGGGACGAGCAAGGACGGUACCCAAGGAAGAAGCCCCGGCUAACUACGUGCCAGCAGCCGCGGUAAUACGUAGGGGGCGAGCGUUGUCCGGAGUUACUGGGCGUAAAGCGCACGCAGGCGGUCUGGCGCGUAGUUGGUGACAGCUCCCGGCUUAACUGGGAGAGCGGUGACUAGACGGCCAGACUUGAGGGCCAGAGAGGGACAUGGAACUCCGGGUGGAGUGGUGAAAUGCGUAGAGAUCCGGAAGAACACCAAAGGCGAAGGCAAUGUCCUGGAUGGUACCUGACGCUCAGGUGCGAAAGCUAGGGGAGCGAACGGGAUUAGAUACCCCGGUAGUCCUAGCCGUAAACGAUGACCACUAGGCGUGUGGGGUAUCGACCCCCUACGUGCCGCCUCUAACGAACUAAGUGGUCCGCCUGGGGAGUACGGUCGCAAGAUUAAAACUCAAAGGAAUUGACGG
rnacentral:rRNA from 1 species